rnacentral:rRNA from 1 species
UGAACGCUGGCGGCAGGCCUAACACAUGCAAGUCGAACGGUAACAGGAAACAGCUUGCUGUUUCGCUGACGAGUGGCGGACGGGUGAGUAAUGUCUGGGAAACUGCCUGAUGGAGGGGGAUAACUACUGGAAACGGUAGCUAAUACCGCAUAACGUCGCAAGACCAAAGAGGGGGACCCUCGGGCCUCUUGCCAUCGGAUGUGCCCAGAUGGGAUUAGCUUGUUGGUGGGGUAACGGCUCACCAAGGCGACGAUCCCUAGCUGGUCUGAGAGGAUGACCAGCCACACUGGAACUGAGACACGGUCCAGACUCCUACGGGAGGCAGCAGUGGGGAAUAUUGCACAAUGGGCGCAAGCCUGAUGCAGCCAUGCCGCGUGUAUGAAGAAGGCCUUCGGGUUGUAAAGUACUUUCAGCGGGGAGGAAGGGAGUAAAGUUAAUACCUUUGCUCAUUGACGUUACCCGCAGAAGAAGCACCGGCUAACUCCGUG